AAAAUCAGAUUAGUCUCUCCUAUAUUUAUUUCUGAAACGAUUAUUCGUUUAUGGAAAAGCAUCAUAAGUACACUCGAAUUAAUUUCUUCGAAAAUACACUCAUAGUUAUCAUACAUUGUAUUUUUAUAGUUAUUUUUUUUUUUGCUUUGAUAUUUUCUGAUUUUGUUUUGUGUAAUUCAAACCGCACAGUGAAUAAAUCCUACAUUCCAUUGUCUUAUACAACCACACGAUUAUCUGAUAUUUCACACAUUCAAUUAGUAAAAAUGUUUUUCAUUUUAAUACGUCGUUUGAGAUUAAAGGUUAUUUUUCAAAACGUCAGUCCCAAAGUAUGCAAGGCAUAGUUACUUACAGACAAACAAAAAUUCAAGGUGCAGAUUAUAUUGUGGGGCCACGGGAGUGAUAAAAUGAACUUGAUUAAAUUUCAGUCAAUCUACAUACGAUAUGUUAAAUAUCAAACCAGUUUGUUCUUCAUCUCAUAACAUAGGUCAUCCAAAAAUAGAAUUUGAAGAUUGAAGUGACAGAUUCAAAAGAUGAAUAUCAUUGGAAUUAUCUCAAUUACAUAGCUCAAUUAAAUUAAUCUACUAUAUCUACGGUAUUAAGAAAAACGAUAAUGAAAACGCUGCUAAAUUUAUUAAUGAAAUUACGCACACUACACUAAAUAAAGCUAAAAUGAUUCGAGUACUAUGGAAGAGAUAAAAAAAAAAACAUAAAUCCAUCUUUUAUGUCAACAGAGGAAGCAAUUUCGAUAAUUAUAACUACUUCUCUAUCAAAGUUUCAGUAAAAUAUGUUAAGAAGUAAUGCAAACUGGUAUAGAUGAAAAUGUAAGUAAUAAAUUUUACAUAAUUUUUCAAAAUCCAUCGAGUUGCCAUAAAUUUGAUUUUAAGUAAUUUGUUAAAAAUUGUUGGGAAAUAACAGAGAGUUAUAUAGUUCAUACCACCUAGUAUUCACAACUUUUUUUUUUUUCAAUAGCCGCUUCAUUGAUAUAACCAAUCGGCAAAUUAAGUGAAAAAGCAUUAGAAGCUAGAAAAAAAAAUGUCAACAAUUUUAGAGAAAAUUAUACACGAAAAAUAUCACGAAAAAACACAAAUUCAAAUAUUUUUCAUAGUCUGUUUUUAUCUUUAGAUUCAUUAAUAAAUAGUAAUCGGGAAGUAAAAACGAAAAAACGAAAAUUAUAUCAGUCAGUAAAAGACCUGCUUAUUACCGAUGACAUUGAAACCGAAAGUGAAUCAGAGCAAAUGAUAGUAGUGAAUACUACUGUGCGGCGGCGAGAUGUUCGGCGUUGAACUGUUCUGUGAUGAAUAGUUCUAAGGCGAAACGGUCAUGGUAAAUUAGUUGCGGC